rnacentral:rRNA from 1 species
UACGAAGGGGGCUAGCGUUGCUCGGAAUUACUGGGCUUAAAGCGUGUGUAGGCGGAUCGGUAAGUACCUUGUGAAAUCCCACAGCUUAACUGUGGAACUGCUUGGUAUACUGCCAGUCUUGAGCCAGCUAGGGGCUACCGGAACAAAUGGUGGAGCGGUGAAAUGCGUAGAUAUCAUUUGGAACGCCAAUGGUGAAAACAGGUAGCUGGGGCUGUGCUGACGCUGAGACACGAAAGCCAGGGGAGCAAACGGG